rnacentral:misc_RNA from 1 species
CCUCCUCAACCGCAACCACAAUCACAACCACCGCCCACGGCUUUAACAAACUCGAACUCCAACACCACACCUCUAACACCACCACAACCACAAGUACCAACACCAACAACUACCAUGUCAAAUUUACCUCAAAAUCCACAAAUGGCAUCUGCUUCUCUUGACCCACAAAUUUCAUCGCCUCCUCUUCCCUCUCAACAGCAACAGCCAUCGAUUGUACAACA